AUUUAUUGGGCGUAAAGCGAGCGCAGGCGGUUCUUUAAGUCUGAAGUUAAAGGCAGUGGCUUAACCAUUGUACGCUUUGGAAACUGGAGGACUUGAGUGCAGAAGGGGAGAGUGGAAUUCCAUGUGUAGCGGUGAAAUGCGUAGAUAUAUGGAGGAACACCGGAGGCGAAAGCGGCUCUCUGGUCUGUAACUGACGCUGAGGCUCGAAAGCGUGGGGAGCAAACAGGAUUAGAUACCCUGGUAGUCCACGCCGUAAACGAUGAGUGCUAGGUGUUAGGCCCUUUCCGGGGCUUAGUGCCGCAGAUAACGCAUUAAGCACUCCGCCU
rnacentral:rRNA from 1 species